rnacentral:rRNA from 1 species
GACGAACGCUGGCGGCGUGCUUAACACAUGCAAGUCGAACGGCAACGCACUACUAUUGUGGGCUGAUCGAGUGCCGAUGGGGUACGUAACACGUGUGUAACCUGCUCUAGACUUUGGGAUGAGUUCAGGAAACUAGAGCUACUACAGUACAGGAGCUGCUGUACGAUGGUGGGCGUUGGAACUUCUCGGCUGUCGGGGAUGGAUUCGCGGAUUAUCAGCUUGUUGGUUGGGUAGUGGCUUACCAAGCAUUUGACGGGUACCCGGCUUGAGAGGGUGACCGGCCACAUUGGGACUGAGAUACGGCCCAGACGCCUACGGGAGGCAGCAGUGGGGAAUAUUGCACAAUGGGCGGAAGCCUGAUGCAGCAACGCCGCGUGCGGGAUGACGGCCUUCGGGUUGUAAACCGCUUUCGCCUGUGACGAAGCGUGAGUGACGGUAAUGGGUAAAGAAGCACCGGCUAACUACGUG